GAAGCAAUCCGAGAUCGAUCCGGAUCAUAUGAACAACAAAACCUGUCCUUAACAGGAUGGUCCGAGGUCCUUUUUUGAGACGGAUAACGAUGAGAUGCCUACAACUAAUAAGAAAAGGUAGGGGGGAGACACGGCCCAGAAUCCCACGAGGGGCAGCAGCGGGGAAUCUUGGACAAUGGGUGAAAGCCCGAUCCAACAAUAUCGCGUGAGUGAAGAAGGGAAAAAUGCCGCUUGUAAAGCUCUUUCGUCGAGUGCGUGAUCAUGACAGGACUCGAGGAAGAAGCCCCGGCUAACUCCGUGCCAGCAGUCGCGGUAAGAGGGGGGGGGGCAAGUGUUCUUC
rnacentral:ncRNA from 1 species